rnacentral:rRNA from 1 species
UAGGGAAUCUUCCGCAAUGGACGAAAGUCUGACGGAGCAACGCCGCGUGAGUGAAGAAGGAUUUCGGUUCGUAAAACUCUGUUGUUAGGGAAGAAAAAAUGUAUAGUAACUAUAUACAAAAGAGACGGUACCUAACCAGAAAGCCACGGCUAACUACGUGCCAGCAGCCGCGGUAAUACGUAGGUGGCAAGCGUUGUCCGGAAUUAUUGGGCGUAAAGCGCGCGCAGGUGGUUUAGAAAGUCUGAUGUGAAAGCCCACGGCUCAACCGUGGAGGGUCAUUGGAAACUAAUAAACUUGAGUGCAGGGGAGAAAAGUGGAAUUCCUAGUGUAGCGGUGAAAUGCGUAGAGAUUAGGAGGAACACCGGUGGCGAAAGCGGCUUUUUGGCCUGCAACUGACACUGAGGCGCGAAAGCGUGGGGAGCAAACGGG